rnacentral:rRNA from 1 species
CAGCGCCGCGGGAAUACGAAGGGUGCAAGCGUUACUCGGAAUUACUGGGCGUAAAGCGUGCGUAGGUGGUGGUUUAAGUCCGUUGUGAAAGCCCUGGGCUCAACCUGGGAAUUGCAGUGGAUACUGGGUCACUAGAGUGUGGUAGAGGAUAGUGGAGUUUCCGGUGUAGCAGUGAAAUGCGUAGAGAUCGGAAGGAACAUCAGUGGCGAAGGCGGCCAUCUGGGACAACACUGACGCUGAGGCACGAAAGCGUGGGGAGCAAACAGGAUUAGAUACCCGCGUAGUCCCUGUCUCUUAUACA